AUACGUAUGGGGCAAGCGUUAUCCGGAUUUAUUGGGCGUAAAGCGCGCGUAGGCGGCUUGUUAAGUCAGGUGUGAAAUCCGGGGGCUCAACCCGCGGCUUGCAUCUGAAACUGGCAGGCUUGAGUCUGGUAGAGGAAAGUGGAAUUCCUAGUGUAGCGGUGAAAUGCGUAGAUAUUAGGAGGAACACCAGUGGCGAAGGCGGCUUACUGGACGAUAACUGACGUUGAGGCUCGAAAGCGUGGGAGC
rnacentral:rRNA from 1 species